rnacentral:rRNA from 1 species
UACAGGGGGUGCAAACGUUGCUCGGAAUCAUUGGGCGUAAAGCGCACGUAGGCGGUCUGUUAAGUCGGAUGUGAAAGCCCCGGGCUCAACCCGGGAAGUGCAUACGAAACUGGCGGACUUGAAUAUGGAAGAGGGUCGCGGAAUUCCCAGUAUAGAGGUGAAAUUCGUAGAUAUCGGGAGGAACACCAGUGGCGAAGGCGGCGACCUGGGCCAAUAUUGACGCUAAUGUGCGAAAGCGUGAGGAGCAGACAGG